rnacentral:lncRNA from 1 species
UGAAAAACCAGCACCUGGUAGUUAAAAUUAAUCUGAACCCAUCAGAUGAGACCAAUCCAUCUUACCCAGACUUAAGAAACCAGUCUAAUCCUUAUUUCUUUAAACGGACGCUAUUUUUCUGUCUCAAUGUUCUGUGAGGUUCUCUGCUGGAAGGCAAAACGGACGGAGACGUGGAAACUCGGGGUUGCACAGACAGAUUCAUCAUGAGUCUGACAUCGCAGCGCUUGUCAAUGCUGUCCUGCCCGUGGCUGCCUGCGUCUGCUUUAACAGUCGUUCUUUGUUUAUUUUCAGUAAAAGGAGCAAUACUGCAAACCUCACCCAACCAGCAACAAUCACCAGCAUCUCCCAGGUCCCCCCGCGGCUCAGCAUUCCAUGUCAGAGGUCACCAGGGUCCUGAAUUCUGUGUUUUGCAGUCCUCUCUUUAAAGACUUGUUAGGUAUGCAGGCCUCCCUGAGGUAUUGCUGAAUUUCAUACGGCUGUGAAAUUCAUAAAAAGGAUAUUUUACACUACAUCAUCUUUUUCUUUUCUUUUCUUUUUUUUUGGUGGUGGGGGUACAGGAUUGAACUAGGGGCACUCAACCACUGAGCCCCAUCCCCAGCCCUAUUUUAGAUUUUAUUUAGAGACAGGGUCUCCCUGAGUUGCUUAGUGCCUCACUCUUGCUGAGGCUGGCUUUUGAACUCGAGAUCCUCCUGCCUCAGCCUCCGAAGCCACUGGAAUGACAGGUGUGCACCACCGUGCCCCGCUACUACAUCAUUUUUUUUUUAAAGAGAGAGAGAGAGAGAAUUUUAAUAUUUAUUUUUUAGUUCUCAGCAGACUCAACAUCUUUGUUUGUAUGUGGUGCUGAGGAUCGAAC